rnacentral:rRNA from 1 species
AUUGAACGCUGGCGGCAUGCCUUACACAUGCAAGUCGAACGGCAGCACGGGGGCAACCCUGGUGGCGAGUGGCGAACGGGUGAGUAAUGCAUCGGAACGUGCCCAGUAGUGGGGGAUAACCAGUCGAAAGACUGGCUAAUACCGCAUACGACCUAAGGGUGAAAGCGGGGGACCGUAAGGCCUCGCGCUAUUGGCGCGGCCGAUGUCUGAUUAGCUAGUUGGCGGGGUAAGAGCCCACCAAGGCGACGAUCAGUAGCUGGUCUGAGAGGACGACCAGCCACACUGGGACGGAGACACGGCCCAGACUCCUACGGGAGGCAGCAGUGGGGAAUUUUGGACAAUGGGCGCAAGCCUGAUCCAGCCAUGCCGCGUGCGGGAAGAAGGCCUUCGGGUUGUAAACCGCUUUUGGCAGGAACGAAACGGCGCAAGCCAAUACCUUGCGCUAAUGACGGUACCUGCAGAAUAAGCACCGGCUAACUACGUGCCAGCCGCCGCGGUAAGAC